rnacentral:rRNA from 1 species
GAUCCUGGCUCAGGAUGAACGCUGGCGGCGUGCCUAAUACGUGCAAGUCGAACGCUUUGUGGUUCAACUGAUUUGAAGAGCUUGCUCAGAUAUGACGAUGGACAUUGCAAAGAGUGGCGAACGGGUGAGUAACACGUGGGAAACCUACCUCUUAGCAGGGGAUAACAUUUGGAAACAGAUGCUAAUACCGUAUAACAAUGACAACCGCAUGGUUGUUAUUUAAAAGAUGGUUCUGCUA